AGAGCAGAGCUGAAUGUUAUAAUCACAAAGGUGGCUUUCCCAGGUUGAGGCUCAUCCAUUGCACUUUGGGUGUGCUGAUCCCUGUGAUUUCCCCAAAUGUGGGAAACUUGACUGCAUAAUUUGUGACAGUGGGGGGACUGUGCUUGUGCUUUCCCUCU
rnacentral:snRNA from 1 species